rnacentral:rRNA from 1 species
GAUGAACGCUGGCGGCGUGCCUAAUACAUGCAAGUCGAGCGAACAGAUAAGGAGCUUGCUCCUUUGACGUUAGCGGCGGACGGGUGAGUAACACGUGGGUAACCUACCUAUAAGACUGGGAUAACUUCGGGAAACCGGAGCUAAUACCGGAUAACAUUUGGAACCGCAUGGUUCUAAAGUGAAAGAUGGUUUUGCUAUCACUUAUAGAUGGACCCGCGCCGUAUUAGCUAGUUGGUAAGGUAACGGCUUACCAAGGCAACGAUACGUAGCCGACCUGAGAGAGUGAUCGGCCACACUGGAACUGAGACACGGUCCAGACUCCUACGGGAGGCAGCAGUAGGGAAUCUUCCGCAAUGGGCGAAAGCCUGACGGAGCAACGCCGCGUGAGUGAUGAAGGGUUUCGGCUCGUAAAACUCUGUUAUUAGGGAAGAACAAAUGUGUAAGUAACUGUGCACGUCUUGACGGUACCUAAUCAGAAAGCCACGGCUAACUACGUG